rnacentral:rRNA from 1 species
AGGCCUUGACAUCCUCGGAACUUUCCAGAAAUGGAUUGGUGCCUUCGGGAACGCAGUGAC